rnacentral:rRNA from 1 species
CCUACGGGUGGCUGCAGUGGGGAAUAUUGGACAAUGGGCGAAAGCCUGAUCCAGCCAUGCCGCGUGUGUGAAGAAGGCCUUCGGGUUGUAAAGCACUUUCAGUAGGGAAGAAAGCCUUGGGGCUAAUACCCUCGAGGAAGGACAUCACCCACAGAAGAAGCACCGGCUAACUCCGUGCCAGCAGCCGCGGUAAUACGGAGGGUGCGAGCGUUAAUCGGAAUUACUGGGCGUAAAGCGCGCGUAGGCGGUCUGAUAAGCCGGUUGUGAAAGCCCCGGGCUCAACCUGGGAACGGCAUCCGGAACUGUCAGGCUAGAGUGCAGGAGAGGAAGGUAGAAUUCCCGGUGUAGCGGUGAAAUGCGUAGAGAUCGGGAGGAAUACCAGUGGCGAAGGCGGCCUUCUGGACUGACACUGACGCUGAGGUGCGAAAGCGUGGGUAGCAAACAGGAUUAGAUACCCGGGUAGUC